UCCAGCGGUCUCAAGCGUUGUUCGGAUUCAUUGGGCGUAAAGGGUGUGUAGGUGGCGCCGUAAGUCGGGUGUGAAAUUUCGGAGCUUAACUCCGAAACUGCAUUCGAUACUGCGGUGCUUGAGGACUGGAGAGGAGACUGGAAUUCAUGGUGUAGCAGUGAAAUGCGUAGAGAUCAUGAGGAAGACCAGUGGCGAAGGCGGGUCUCUGGACAGUUCCUGACACUGAGACACGAAGGCCAGGGGAGCAAACGGG
rnacentral:rRNA from 1 species